GACGAACGCUGGCGGCGUGCUUAACACAUGCAAGUCGAACGGUGAAGCGCCUUCCUUUUUGGUGGGUGUGUAUGAGUGGCGAACUGGUUAGUAACACGUUAGUAACCUUCCCCCUCCUGCUGGAUAACCGCAUGAAAGUGUUGCUAAUACGGGAUAUUCUGGGCCUGUUGCAUGAUUGGUCUGAGAAGGAUAUUGUUUCGGUUGGGGAUGGGCUCGCGGCCUAUCAGCUUGUUGGUGGGGUGAUGGCCUACCAAGGCGGUGACGGGUAGCCGGCCUGAGAGGGUGGGCCGUCACACUGCGGCGGAGAGGCGGCGACGACUACUGGAGGAGGCAGUAGUGAGUAAUACUGCACAAUGGGAGGAAGGAUGGUGCAGCGACGCGGGGUGGGGGAUGGAGGCCGUAGCGUUGUGAACUUCUUUCGGCAGUGAAGCAGGGUUGACUUGUUUGUGGGUGGGUUGACGGUAGCUGGAUAAGAAGCGCCGGCUAACUACGUG
rnacentral:rRNA from 1 species